CAUCUUCCUGGACUCGUCAUUCAGCCUGUGGACCGCAAAGCAGGGUCGUAUUCAUUUGUGCACACCGUAUCAAAAUGUUUUAACACAAAAAUAAAACGUUUCUUAUUGGACAAGUUCAGGUAGUUCCUGCCCGUCUGUCCGUUUGCUAGUGAAUACACAGCUUGAAUGUCAUUGAGUGUCUGUAGACUUAAAUAUCUCUACCUACAGCUCUUUCCUUUACUUGAACCUUUGCUCUUAGUCACCAUUGUUAUACAUCAGUAAUUAGUGACUCCUUUAAUAUCAGCAGUUAGGGCGAAAUUCAUUUACAUUUCCCCGCAGUCAGUUAACGGAUUUAUUUAAGUGAUAGUCAUUUGUUAAUUCUACAAGGGUUCAAUUCAGUCCCUGGAGGAACGAAACAGAUUGAUCAAGACACUUAACUGAAGUAUUUGCCUAAGCUUAAAAUUAUAAUCUAAGAGUUCACGGAGAAGUUAAAUGCUGAAUGUGUAUCUUUUUUUUUCAGUUCGUAAAACACCUACUUGGAGGCCGAGUCAUCAAACGUGGCCAUCAUCACUACUGUUCCUUCUUCAAUAGUCUUCAGGAAUGUGAUGAGCGUGUUGACAUCUGCACACACAACAAAUACACAGAAGUGUUAAUACCUGCCUGGCGCCAGAACAACAUCUUUAUCCCUCUCUAACAAUACCGCUACACAUUGAAGAAGCUCAACUCCUAGGAGUAACAUUGGAUGGUCAGUUGUCAUUGCCAAGUCACAUACAAAGUUUUUGUGAAGAUGGUGAGCGGUACAGUAUGUAUGUUGUGGUGUGUUCUGCGUUUUUGACACAAAGCUCAACUGUAUCAGGCUUUGAUCUUGUCCCAUAACAUGGUCAGGUGCAGCAAAGAAAGACCUAGCAAAGCUGCAGCUGGCUGAAAACAAAAGCCUUGCCUUUAACUGCACACAAACAACAUGAUAGUCUUUCAUGGUUGAGGAGAAACGGACUACUUCUAGUCUAAGAAAAAUGUUUUCUUUUUUUUAAAUGCCUAACCAUUUGCAUACACUACAUACCCCAGACACACCACUAUGGGUUUCUUCACAGUACCCAUACCAAAAACACAUUUAGUGUGUCGCUCAGUUAUGUAUAGAAACAUGAAAUCGUGGUAAAAGUUCACAUUUAGAAACAUAUUGUAUCACAGCACCUCUCCUCUUUCUGAAGGUCUCAUUUAACUGUAUUGUACAUAAGAAUGUAUAUAUGAAGUGUGUGAAUAGUAUUGGCUGUCUAUUGGAGUCUUUCUUCCACACACACCUCUUAUUUCUAUAUUAAAGUAAUAUCUUAUGUU